rnacentral:piRNA from 1 species
UGACCUGCUUGGUUGAGUCCUAGAACGC